UGCAUGAUUUGGAUAUUUUUUACCUAGUUCAUUAACCAUUGGAAAUUUUGGUAUAAGUAGUGCUUUAUAUUUUUGGGUAAUAUGACGAUAAUUUAAUGGUUAACUAGCAGGUUUAACAAGCAUAUGUGCAAUAUAGGACAUAACUCUUUUUAUGAGUUAUCAUGCAUUUGAUUUAUGUGUGAAUGCAUGGAAUUUAGAGAAUAUCACGUCCAUUUUAGGAUAAUGGAUAUAUUUUGUCAAGCCACAUAUGAGGAGGCUAUAUGGGAGUUGAUGAUGCACUAAGUUAUGUUUAGUGCAAGUAACAUAGGCUAUGAUUCUAGUUAUCAUUUGAUUUUGUGGGCAUAUACACCUAUGUGAGAGGGGUGCAUGGUUUAAUUUUGAUCUACAUGAGGUUAUCUUAUAACAUGUAAGUUCAUUUUGUACAUGCAUUUGUAUAUUUUUAAUAUGCAUGCACUUAUAUAGAGCUCAUGGUUUGAUUUUAAUUUAUAUGGGAUUAUCCUUUUGACAUGUAAGUUGAUUGCCUACAUGCACCUUACCCAUACUAGUUCUUCAUUAUAUCAUAUAGGACUAGUGUGAUUUUAGAUUUCAGAUUCAUGAGAAUAUUUUAUAAAGUUUGGCUUCACUUGUAUUAGUACUAGCAUCAUGUAGCAACAUUGUGCCCAUGCAUAGCAUAAUCAAGAGGAGUUUGGUGAUUUCUUCUUGCUUGUAUUAUCACCAGCAAAGCAUAGAGUAUAUACUUGUGUUGUAACCAAACUUGAAGCAAAUAUCAAUUUAUAAGCAUGUGACAUUUACAUUGCACAUAUGCAUGGACUUUGCGGUGUAAUAUGAUUCCAACACCUACGUUAAUGCACUAGUUUUAUAUGGGGACUAGUGACAUGUCUAUAUGGGUAUUUUGAUUAAGUUUCACUUCACCCGUAUUAUGACUAGCACCGUGUAACAAUAUGUCCACGAAUAGCAUAACCGAAUGAAGCAUGGUGAUUUCUCUUUGUUUGUAUUAUCACUACCAAGGCAUAGAGCAUAUGCUUGUAAUGAAACCAAACUUGAAGUAUGUGUCAAUUUAUAUGGGCAUGAUGACAAUUAUCGAUUUACUUUAGCUAUAUGAGACUAAACAAUGCAUGAGAAAUUGUUAUGUAUGACAUCCAUUGCUUGGAACAAAUAUUGCGAUGCGCUAUGUUAUUUCUAGUGCAAAAAUCCAUAUAGGGAAAUUAUCUAUCACACGAUUCAUUUAGCUUAUACAUGCAUCACAUAAGGGAAUGGACAAUUUUCUUUGGUUAAAAUAUGCAAGUGGAACAACAUGCAACAAUGUUUCAUUUGAUCAUACCUAUAUGGCUAGCAAUAUUUGAUUAAACUAGCCUAUGAUUUUAUAUGGAGCAAAUAU
rnacentral:lncRNA from 1 species